rnacentral:rRNA from 1 species
AGUGAACGCUGGCGGUAGGCCUAACACAUGCAAGUCGAACGGCAGCACAGUAAGAGCUUGCUCUUACGGGUGGCGAGUGGCGGACGGGUGAGGAAUACAUCGGAAUCUACUUUUUCGUGGGGGAUAACGUAGGGAAACUUACGCUAAUACCGCAUACGACUACGGGUGAAAGCAGGGGAUCUUCGGACCUUACGCGAUUGAAUGAGCCGAUGUCGGAUUAGCUAGUUGGCGGGGUAAAGGCCCACCAAGGCGACGAUCCGUAGCUGGUCUGAGAGGAUGAUCAGCCACACUGGAACUGAGACACGGUCCAGACUCCUACGGGAGGCAGCAGUGGGGAAUAUUGGACAAUGGGCGCAAGCCUGAUCCAGCCAUACCGCGUGGGUGAAGAAGGCCUUCGGGUUGUAAAGCCCUUUUGUUGGGAAAGAAAAGCAGCAGGUUAAUACCCCGCUGUUCUGACGGUACCCAAAGAAUAAGCACCGGCUAACUUCGUG